GAUUGAAGAACGUAGCGAAAUGCGAUAAGUAAUGUGAAUUGCAGAAUUCAGUGAAUCAUCGAAUCUUUGAACGCACAUUGCGCCCGCCAGCAUUCUGGCGGGCAUGCCUGUCCGAGCGUCAUUUCAACCAUCAAGCCCCGGGCUUGUGUUGGGGACCUGCGUCCGACGCAGGCCCUGAAAACCAGUGGCGGGCUCGCUGUCCACGCCGAGCGUAGUAACUCACCUCGCUGCGGAGUGGCGCGGGCGCCUGCCGUGAAACCCCCGACCACCAAAGGUUGACCUCGGAUCAGGUAGGAAUACCCGCUGAACUUAAGCAUAUCAAUAAGCGGAGGA
rnacentral:misc_RNA from 1 species